AGUGAACGCUGGCGGUAGGCCUAACACAUGCAAGUCGAACGGAAGCACAGUAAGAGCUUGCUCUUACGGGUGGCGAGUGGCGGACGGGUGAGGAAUACAUCGGAAUCUACUUUUUCGUGGGGGAUAACGUAGGGCAACUUACGCUAAUACCGCAUACGACCUACGGGUGAAAGCAGGGGAUCUUCGGACCUUGCGCGAUUGAAUGAGCCGAUGUCGGUUUAGCUAGUUGGCGGGGUAAAGGCCCACCAAGGCGACGAUCCGUAGCGACUCUGAGGGGAUGAUCGGCCACACGGGAACUGAGACACGUUCCAAACUCCUACGGGAGGCAGCAGUGGGGAAUAUUGGACAAGGGGCGCAAGCCGAAGCCAGCCAGACCGCGUAGGUAAAGAAGGCCUUCGGGUUGUAAAGCCCUUUUGUUGGGAAAGAAAAGCAGCAGGUUAAUACCCCGCUGUUCGGACGGUACCCAAAGAAUAAGCACCGGCUAACUUCGU
rnacentral:rRNA from 1 species